AGGCCCAGUGCCUAAGAAGACAUCGAAAUGCCAGGACUGCAAAAGUUCGUUCAAAACUUCCCGUGCUGGAAAAUUUGCUUCGUUGUGUGAUACAUGUCUGGAGUCUAAGGUUGCUCAGAAUAUGACGAGGCCGAGAAUCGGACGGCCACCUAAGAAUCUCUCCCCAGAGACGAAAACCACUACUGCAGCAAGCCCAACUUCAU